UACGGAGGGAGCUAGCGUUGUUCGGAAUUACUGGGCGUAAAGCGCACGUAGGCGGCUUUGUAAGUUAGAGGUGAAAGCCCGGAGCUCAACUCCGGAAUUGCCCUUAAGACUGCAUCGCUUGAAUCCAGGAGAGGUGAGUGGAAUUCCGAGUGUAGAGGUGAAAUUCGUAGAUAUUCGGAAGAACACCAGUGGCGAAGGCGGCUCACUGGACUGGUAUUGACGCUGAGGUGCGAAAGCGUGGGGAGCAAACAGG
rnacentral:rRNA from 1 species